rnacentral:rRNA from 1 species
GAUGAACGCUGGCGGCGUGCCUAAUACAUGCAAGUCGAGCGAACGGACGAGAAGCUUGCUUCUCUGAUGUUAGCGGCGGACGGGUGAGUAACACGUGUAUAACCUACCUAUAAGACUGGGAUAACUUCGGGAAACCGGAGCUAAUACCGUAUAAUAUUUUGAACCGCAUGGUUCAAAAGUGAAAGACGGUCUUGCUGUCACUUAUAGAUGGAUCCGCGCUGCAUUAGCUAGUUGGUAAGGUAACGGCUUACCAAGGCAACGAUGCAUAGCCGACGUGAGAGGGGGAUAGGCCACACUGGAAGUGAGACACGGUCCAGAGUCCUACGGGAGGCAGCAGUAGGGAAUCUUACGCAGAGGGCGAAAGCAUGACGGAGCAACGCCGCGUGAGUGAUGAAGGUCUUCGGAUCGUAAAACUCGGUUAUUAGGGAAGAACAUAUGUGUAAGUAACUGUGCACAUCUUGACGGUACCUAAUCAGAAAGCCACGGCUAACUACGUG